rnacentral:tRNA from 1 species
GGAUAUGAAGCGAUUCAUUGCAAUUAGUUUCGACCUAAUCUUAGGUGUCAAACACCCUUAUCCU